ACAUACCAGCAGUUUUUUUCAUUGAUUUUACCUUUGUAGUUUAUUGUCUUUUUAUCCUCUAGUUAAAAUUUUUUUGAGUUUGCACAUAUUAUGUUAAUUGAUGUAAUAUUCCUUUUGUAGACUAGCAUCUACACCAGCAUCAUACAGUACACAUACGAAAAAAGUGGCAUCUUUUGAUCCAUUCUAUGCGAACAUUACAAUAACAGCUAGUCAUCUUGGUAAGGCGGUGAUGUUUGAGUUCUCCACUAUUGCUAAAGGUCUUGGGGAAGCUGAUGUGAAUGGCAUGAUGAAACCUGUUC